rnacentral:misc_RNA from 1 species
AACUUUUGGCAAUGGAUCUCUUGGCUCUCGCAUCGAUGAAGAACGCAGCGAAAUGCGAUACGUAAUGCGAAUUGCAGAAUUCAGUGAAUCAUCGAAUCUUUGAACGCACAUUGCACUCUCUGGUAUUCCGGAGAGUAUGCUUGUUUGAGUAUCUGUAAACAUCUCAACCCUCAAGGCGCUUGCGUCGGGAGGAUUGGACUUGAGUGAUCCCGACUCUUUCUCACGAAAGAGGAGGGUCGCUUGAAAUGCAGGUGCAGCAGGACAUUCUUCUGAGCUAAAAGCAUAUCUAUUUAGUCCCGUCAAACGGAUUAUUACUUUUGCUUCAGCUAACAUAAAGGUCGAAUGCGCCACAAUCGCUGAUUGCAGGAAAACUCGUUCGUAAGAACUUGUAAACUCGAUCUCAAAUCAAGUAAGACUACCCGCUGAACUUAAGCAUAUCAAUAAGCGGAGGC